rnacentral:rRNA from 1 species
UACAGAGGGUGCAAGCGUUGUUCGGAAUUAUUGGGCGUAAAGGGCGCGUAGGCGGUUCGGCAAGUCUCUAGUGAAAUCUCUGGGCUCAACUCAGAGUCUGCUGGGGAAACUGCCGGGCUUGAGUGUGGGAGAGGAGAGUGGAAUUCCCGGUGUAGCGGUGAAAUGCGUAGAUAUCGGGGAGGAACACCUGUGGCGAAGGCGGCACUCUGGGCCGAUUCUGACACUGAGGAGCGAAAGCGUGGGGAGCCGAACAGG